UUUUGUAGACUAAGACUUAAUGAAGAGGUGCAAAAAAAAAAAAAAAAAAAUCCUCUUUUGCAGCCCAGAACUCAUUGUUCAGUGUGCGUUUUGAUGCAUGUAAGAAGGAACAUU
rnacentral:snoRNA from 1 species